UGAUAGCCGCGUUAACGAUUGAAGCGGCAUCCUUUUUGGUUUUUCGCCAAAAAGAUAGAGCUGAAAGCGUGUUAAAAC
rnacentral:sRNA from 1 species